UGGGGAAUAUUGGGCAAUGGGCGCAAGCCUGACCCAGCAAUGCCGCGUGGAGGAAGAAGGCCUCGGGUUGUAAACUUCUUUUAUCAGGGACGAAGAAUGUGACGGUACCUGAUGAAUAAGCUCCGGCUAACUACGUGCCAGCAGCCGCGGUAAUACGUAGGGAGCAAGCGUUAUCCGGAUUUACUGGGUGUAAAGGGCGCGUAGGCGGGAUGGCAAGUCAGAUGUGAAAUCCAUGGGCUCAACCCAUGAACUGCAUUUGAAACUGUCGUUCUUGAGUACUGGAGAGGUUGACGGAAUUCCUAGUGUAGCGGUGAAAUGCGUAGAUAUUAGGAGGAACACCAGUGGCGAAGGCGGUCAACUGGACAGCAACUGACGCUGAGGCGCGAAAGCGUGGGGAGCAAACAGGAUUAGAUACCC
rnacentral:rRNA from 1 species